AGUAGGACGUUCCCCUUCGGGGGACAGAGUGACAGGUGGUGCAUGGUUGUCGUCAGCUCGUGUCGUGAGAUGUUGGGUUAAGUCCCGCAACGAGCGCAACCCUUGAUCUUAUUUGCCAGCAUUUAGUUGGGCACUCUAAGGUGACUGCCGGUGACAAACCGGAGGAAGGUGGGGAUGACGUCAAAUCAUCAUGCCCCUUAUGACCUGGGCUACACACGUGCUACAAUGGGUGGUACAAAGGGCAGCAAAACCGCGAGGUCGAGCCAAUCCCAUAAAACCACUCUCAGUUCGGAUUGUAGGCUGCAACUCGCCUACAUGAAGCUGGAAUCGCUAGUAAUCGCGGAUCAGCAUGCCGCGGUGAAUACGUUCCCGGGUCUUGUACACACCAAA
rnacentral:rRNA from 1 species